CCUACGGGAGGCAGCAGUGGGGAAUAUUGGGCAAUGGAGGAAACUCUGACCCAGCGACGCCGCGUGCGGGAUGAAGGCCUUCGGGUUGUAAACCGCUUUCAGUAGGGAAGAAGCGAAAGUGACGGUACCUACAAAAGAAGCACCGGCUAACUAUGUGCCAGCAGCCGCGGUAAUACAUAGGGUGCAAGCGUUGUCCGGAAUUAUUGGGCGUAAAGAGCUCGUAGGUCGUUUGUUACGUCGGAUGUGAAAACCUGAGGCUCAACCUCAGGCCUGCAUUCGAUACGGGCAAACUAGAGUUUGGUAGGGGAGACUGGAAUUCCUGGUGUAGCGGUGGAAUGCGCAGAUAUCAGGAGGAACACCAAUGGCGAAGGCAGGUCUCUGGGCCAAUACUGACACUGAGGAGCGAAAGUCUGGGGAGCGAACAGGAUUAGAUACCCUGGUAGUCCAGACCGUAAACGGUGGGCACUAGUUGUGGGAACCUUCCACGGUUUCUGCGACGCNGCUACGCAUAGUGCCCGCCGUCGGGAGGUACGAGUCGCGAAGAAGUUAAACGUUAACGAAAGGAAAGUUAGUAACGGUCGUGUUAGACGUGCCGACGGACGACCGACCGAGGGGAGGAGG
rnacentral:rRNA from 1 species